UACGUAGGGGGCGAGCGUUAUCCGGAUUCACUGGGUGUAAAGGGAGCGUAGACGGCCAUGCAAGCCAGGGGUGAAAGCCCGGGGCCCAACCCCGGGACUGCCCUUGGAACUGCAUGGCUGGAGUGCGGGAGGGGCAGGCGGAAUUCCCGGUGUAGCGGUGGAAUGCGCAGAUAUCGGGAAGAACACCGAUGGCGAAGGCAGAUCUCUGGGCCGCAACCGACGCUGAGGCGCGAAAGCUAGGGGAGCGAACAGG
rnacentral:rRNA from 1 species